UACGUAGGGGGCAAGCGUUGUCCGGAUUUAUUGGGCGUAAAGAGCUCGUAGGUGGUUCGGUAAGUCGGAUGUGAAAUCUCCAGGCUCAACCUGGAGGGGUCAUUCGAUACUGCCGUGACUAGAGGUCGGUAGGGGAGUGUGGAAUUCCUGGUGUAGCGGUGAAAUGCGCAGAUAUCAGGAGGAACACCCGUGGCGAAAGCGGCUCUCUGGGACGGUACUGACGCUGAGACGCGAAAGCGUGGGGAGCAAACAGG
rnacentral:rRNA from 1 species